GACGAACGCUGGCGGCGUGCCUAAUACAUGCAAGUAGAACGCACAGUUUAUACCGUAGCUUGCUACACCAUAGACUGUGAGUUGCGAACGGGUGAGUAACGCGUAGGUAACCUGCCUGGUAGCGGGGGAUAACUAUUGGAAACGAUAGCUAAUACCGCAUAAUAUUAAUUAUUGCAUGAUAAUUAAUUGAAAGGUGCAAUUGCACCACUACCAGAUGGACCUGCGUUGUAUUAGCUAGUAGGUGAGGUAACGGCUCACCUAGGCGACGAUACAUAGCCGACCUGAGAGGGUGAUCGGCCACACUGGGACUGAGACACGGCCCAGACUCCUACGGGAGGCAGCAGUAGGGAAUCUUCGGCAAGGGACGAAAGUCUGACCGAGCAACGCCGCGUGAGUGAAGAAGGUUGUCGGAUCGUAAAGCUCGGUUGUAAGAGAAGAACGGGUGUGAGAGUGGAAAGUUCACACUGUGACGGUAUCUUACCAGAAAGGGACGGCUAACUACGUG
rnacentral:rRNA from 1 species